AGUGAACGCUGGCGGCGUGUUUAGCACAUGCAAGUCGAACGAGAACGGAAUAUAGCUUGCUAUAUUUGUCAGCUAAGUGGCGCACGGGUGAGUAAUGUAUAGAUAACCUGCCCUUAAGAAAGGAAUAACAGUUGGAAACGACUGCUAAUGCCCUAUAUGCCUUUAAUACAUAAGUAUGCAAGGGAAACGCUUUAGUGCUUAAGGAUGGGUCUGUAUGGUAUCAGCUUGUUGGUGAGGUAAUGGCUCACCAAGGCUAUGACGCCUAACUGGUUUGGGAGGAUGUUCAGUCACACUGGAACUGAGAAACGGUGCAGACUCCUACGGGAGGCAGAAGCGGGGAAUAUUGCACAAUGGACGAAAGUCUGAUGCAGCAACGCCGCGUGGAGGAUGACACAUUUCGGUGCGUAAACUCCUUUUAUAUAGGAAGAUAAUGACGGUACUAUAUGAAUAAGCACCGGCUAACUCCGUGCCAGCCGCCGCCGUAA
rnacentral:rRNA from 1 species